UGCCUAGUACCUCUUAUCCCUACCUUCUCGCUGUACUGGCCGGGGUACGAGCUACCUUAGGGAAGAUUGGUUAGUCAACCCCGGUGGGAACUUUGGUCGUAUGCCGACAGGGAAGG
rnacentral:ribozyme from 1 species